UCCGGUUUGUCACCGGCAGUCUCAUUAGAGUGCCCAACUGAAUGUAGCAACUAAUGACAAGGGUUGCGCUCGUUGCGGGACUUAACCCAACAUCUCACGACACGAGCUGACGACAGCCAUGCAGCACCUGUCCUUAGUUGAAUGUUCUAGGGAGACUGCCGGGCGAAACCCGGAGGAAGGUGGGGAUGACGUUUACGUGCACUU
rnacentral:misc_RNA from 1 species